AAAACGCGUCAAAGCCUAGUCCACCGCCUAACCACACACCACACCACUAAACCCUCCACUAAUAGCAAGCACUUCUAUACCCAUAUAGAAAAUUUUAUGUUAAAACUAGUAACAAGAAGACAUCCCUUCUCUUAUAUGUGAGUGUAAGCCAGUGAAGAAAGCCCGCUGGCAAUUAACAGUUAUUCCACUCAGUGGAAAAACAACAAGAAAACCCCGCUAACCACCCUGUUAACCUAACACAAGAGCAUAACAAGAAAGAUUAAAACAAGAGGAAGGAACUCGGCAAAACUAAUCCCGCCUGUUUACCAAAAACAUCGCCUCUUGUACACUUAUAAGAGGUCCAGCCUGCCCAGUGACACACGUUCAACGGCCGCGGUAUCCUGACCGUGCAAAGGUAGCACAAUCACCUGUCCCUUAAAUGGGGACUAGUAUGAACGGCACCACGAGGAUUAAACUGUCUCCCUCUUUUAAUCAGUGAAACUAAUCCCCCUGUGAAAAAGCAGGGAUGAUCAUAUAAGACGAGAAGACCCUAUGGAGCUUUAAACUAAAUAGCAUCUGCCUAGCCCCUCUAACGAGUUAAUAUCUAUUGCAUUUUGUCUAUAAGUUUUUGGUUGGGGUGACCCUGGAGAAAAACUCAUCCUCCACACUGAAAUGAACCUAAAAUUUAAACCUAAAAGCUACAACUUUACGGAUCAACAAAUUGACACUAAUUGACCCAAACAUUUGAUCAACGAACCAAGUUACCCUAGGGAUAACAGCGCCAUCCACUUUAAGAGUACAUAUCGACAAGUGGGCUUACGACCUCGAUGUUGGAUCAGGGUACCCCAGUGGUGCAGCCGCUACUAAAGGUUCGUUUGUUCAACGAUUAAAACCCUACGU
rnacentral:rRNA from 1 species